rnacentral:tRNA from 5 species
GGAGAGGUGGCCGAGCGGCUUAAGGUGCACGACUGGAAAUCGUGUGUGGGGUUAAACUCACCGAGGGUUCAAAUCCCUCCCUCUCCGCCA